rnacentral:tRNA from 1 species
GAGGGUAUAGCUCAGUGGUAGAGUGCAUGCCUAGCAUGCAUGAGGUCGUGGGUUCAAUCCCCAGCACCUCCA